UACAGAGGCCUCGAGCGUUAGGCGGAAUCACUGGGCUUAAAGCGUGUGUAGGCGGACUUCUAAGUACCUUGUGAAAUCCCACGGCUUACCCGUGGAACUGCUGGGUAUACUGGUUGUCUUGAGCCACUUAGGGGCUACCGGAACAAAUGGUGGAGCGGUGAAAUGCGUAGAUAUUGCUCGGAAGGCCAACGGCGAAGGCAGGUUACUGGUGCGCAACUGACACUGAGGCACGAAAGCGUGGGGAGCAAACAAG
rnacentral:rRNA from 1 species